GACGGACGCUGGCGGCGUGCUUAACACAUGCAAGUCGAGCGGUAAGGCUCCUUCGGGAGUACACGAGCGGCGAACGGGUGAGUAACACGUGAGCAAUCUGCCCUUCACUUUGGGAUAAGCGCCGGAAACGGCGUCUAAUACCGAAUACGACCACUUCCGGCAUCGGAUGGUGGUGGAAAGUUCCGGCGGUGAAGGAUGAGCUCGCGGCCUAUCAGCUUGUUGGUGAGGUAAUGGCUCACCAAGGCUUCGACGGGUAGCCGGCCUGAGAGGGUGACCGGCCACACUGGGACUGAGACACGGCCCAGACUCCUACGGGAGGCAGCAGUGGGGAAUAUUGGACAAUGGGCGAAAGCCUGAUCCAGCAACGCCGCGUGAGGGAUGACGGCCUUCGGGUUGUAAACCUCUUUCAGCAGGGACGAAGCGCAAGUGACGGUACCUGCAGAAGAAGCACCGGCCAACUACGUGCCAGCCGCCGCUGUAAGAC
rnacentral:rRNA from 1 species